UUGGAGGGCAAGUCUGGUGCCAGCAGCCGCGGUAAUUCCAGCUCCAAUAGCGUAUAUUAAAGUUGUUGCAGUUAAAAAGCUCGUAGUUGAAUUUCGGGGUUAGUAGGUUGGUCAUGCCUCUGGUAUGUACUGGUCUCACUGAUUCCUCCUUCCUUAUGAACCGUAAUGCCAUUAAUUUGGUGUUGCGGGGAAUUUGGACUGUUACUUUGAAAAAAUUAGAGCGUUUAAAGCAAGCUAACGCUUGAAUACAUUAGCAUGGAAUAAUGAAAUAGGACG
rnacentral:rRNA from 1 species